UUCAAUGAGCACGUUUGUGAGUUGUGAGCUAAUAGGUAUGUAGAGUGUGUAAAUUAAACCACUGUCUAAUUUUUCUUGAUGAAAUAUCUAUAAACCUCAAUAUGCUUUAUUUAGUCAUGUUGUACUAGAUUAUGGAUGAUACUGAUAGCUAACUUGUUGUUGCAAUACCGCCUCAUUGGCUCAUCCCACUUAAUCCUUG
rnacentral:lncRNA from 1 species